UACGGAGGGUGCAAACGUUGUUCGGAAUCAUUGGGCGUAAAGCGCACGUAGGCGGUCCGGUAAGUCGGAUGUGAAAUCCCUCGGCUCAACCGAGGAAGGGCAUCCGAAACUGCCGGGCUUGAGUACGGAAGAGGGUCUCGGAAUUCCCGGUGUAGAGGUGAAAUUCGUAGAUAUCGGGAGGAACACCAGUGGCGAAGGCGGAGACCUGGGCCGAUACUGACGCUGAGGCGCGAAAGCGUGGGGAGCAAACAGG
rnacentral:rRNA from 1 species